AUUGAACGCUGGCGACAGGCCUAACACAUGCAAGUCGAGCGGAUGAAGGGAGCUUGCUCCUGGAUUCAGCGGCGGACGGGUGAGUAAUGCCUAGGAAUCUGCCUGGCAGUGGUGGAUAACGUCCGGAAACGGGCGCUAAUACCGCAUACGUCCUGAGGGAGAAAGUGGGGGAUCUUCGGACCUCACGCUAUCAGAUGAGCCUAGGUCGGAUUAGCUAGUUGGUGGGGUAAAGGCCUACCAAGGCGACGAUCCGUAACUGGUCUGAGAGGAUGAUCAGUCACACUGGAACUGAGACACGGUCCAGACUCCUACGGGAGGCAGCAGUGGGGAAUAUUGGACAAUGGGCGGAAGCCUGAUCCAGCCAUGCCGCGUGUGUGAAGAAGGUCUUCGGAUUGUAAAGCCCUUUAAGUUGGGAGGAAGGGCAGUAAGUUAAUACCUUGCUGUUUUGACGUUACCAACAGAAUAAGCACCGGCUAACUUCGUG
rnacentral:rRNA from 1 species